AACGAACGCUGGCGGCAUGCCUAACACAUGCAAGUCGAACGGUGCUUUCGGGCAUCGUUGCGCACGGGUGCGUAACGCGUGGGAAUGCGCCCUUAGCUUCGGAAUAACAGUGAGAAAUUGCUGCUAAUACCGGCUGAUGUCCUCUGACCAAAGAUUUAUCGCCCAGGGUUGAGCCCGCGUUGGACUAGCGUGUUGGUGGCGUAAUGGCCUAUCAAGGGCUCGCUCCUUAGCUGGUCAGAGAGGAUGCGCAGCCACUCUGGGACUGAGACGCGGCCGAGACUCCUGCGAGAAGCAGCAGUGGGAAAUAUUGGACUAUGGGCGCGAGCCAGGGCGAGCUAUGGCGCGUAAGUGAUGAAGGCCUUAGGGGUGUAAAGCUCUUUUACCCGGGAUGAUAAUGACGGUACCGGGAGAAUAAGCACCGGCUAACUCCGUG
rnacentral:rRNA from 1 species